rnacentral:sRNA from 1 species
AAUUGGCUUUGUGAAUCCUAGGUGGUAGGUCCAACAAAAGGAUGAUGGCAUUUAUUUGCCUUUAUAUUAUUUUAAUACCUGUCCGGGGAAAAUACAACACUCUGACAACAGCCUUAGAAAUAGCAUCCCAUCUGGAUUGUUAAGACCACGGCAACUGGCACAUUCGACCAAGUUCUUAGGGUGAAGUCUCAGUAGGCCAGUCCAGGUGUAAUCUCACUCUGGUGGGUUCAGAGCGGGAAGCAAGAUGAAAAAUAAGGAGCAGAUCUGAAUAAUAAAUCACUGUUACUGGGCACCAUAACACAGACGAGAAAUUUUCCCCAUCCUCAGCGGGCUCACCCUCCUGCACAAGGAAUGAACUACAGGACAUGAUCUCAAACACCUACAGAUGCAUCUUGCAGGAAGCGUGCACCCUUCAGUGAAAGAUCCUCUUCUGGACUCGCUAUGCAGCUCAGCUGAAAUGGAUCAGGUCUCAAACCUGGGAGUAAUGUGGUCAUUGCAUCCCGUAAGUUGGAGAGAUUGAAGUCUGCGGCAGAUGAACUGCAGGCCAACCUACCUCCCACAAAGCAGGCACGAGUCAUUCCCAUACAAUGCAACAUCCGGAACGAGGAGGAGGUGAAUAAUUUGGUCAAAUCUACCUUAG